rnacentral:sRNA from 1 species
AUUCUUCUUCGCUCUUC